rnacentral:rRNA from 1 species
GACGAACGCUGGCGGCGUGCCUAACACAUGCAAGUCGAACGGAACUCUUUGGAUCAAGGCUUCGGCCAAGUGAAUUUGAGUUUAGUGGCGAACGGGUGAGUAACGCGUGAGCAACCUGCCUUUCAGAGGGGGACAACAGUUGGAAACGACUGCUAAUACCGCAUGAUGUAUCGAGAUCGCAUGGUUUUGGUACCAAAGAUUUUAUCGCUGAAAGAUGGCCUCGCGUCUGAUUAGCUAGUUGGUGAGGUAACGGCCCACCAAGGCGACGAUCAGUAGCCGACCUGAGAGGGUGAUCGGCCACAUUGGAACUGAGAAACGGUCCAAACUCCUACGGGAGGCAGCAGUGGGGAAUAUUGGGCAAUGGGCGAAAGCCUGACCCAGCAACGCCGCGUGAAGGAAGAAGGUCUUCGGAUUGUAAACUUUUGUUGUCAGCGAAGAAAAAGGACUGUAACUGACGAGAAAGCCCCGGCUAACUACGUG